rnacentral:rRNA from 1 species
GACGUAGGGCGCGAGCGUUGUCCGGAUUUAUUGGGCGUAAAGAGCUCGUAGGCGGCUGUCGCGUCGACUGUGAAAUCCCGCGGCUCAACUGCGGGUCUGCAGUCGAUACGGGCAGGCGUAGAGUUCGGUAGGGGAGACUGGAAUUCCUGGUGUAGCGGUGAAAUGCGCAGAUAUCAGGAGGAACACCAGUGGCGAAGGCGGCUCGCUGGACAAGU